rnacentral:rRNA from 1 species
UGGCUCAGGACGAACGCUGGCGGCGUGCUUAACACAUGCAAGUCGAACGAUGACGAUGGUGCUUGCACCGUCUGAUUAGUGGCGAACGGGUGAGUAACACGUGAGUAACCUGCCCUCCUCUUCGGGAUAACCGCCGGAAACGGUGGCUAAUACCGGAUAUGAAUGCCUGCCGCAUGGUGGGUGUUGGAAAGAUUUAUCGGUGGGGGAUGGACUCGCGGCCUAUCAGCUUGUUGGUGAGGUAAUGGCUCACCAAGGCGAUGACGGGUAGCCGGCCUGAGAGGGCGACCGGCCACACUGGGACUGAGACACGGCCCAGACUCCUACGGGAGGCAGCAGUGGGGAAUAUUGCACAAUGGGCGAAAGCCUGAUGCAGCGACGCCGCGUGGGGGAUGACGGCCUUCGGGUUGUAAACCUCUUUCAGUAGGGAAGAAGCGAGAGUGACGGUACCUGCAGAAGAAGCGCCGGCUAACUACGUGCCAGCCGCUGC